rnacentral:lncRNA from 1 species
CGUUAGACUCCCGGUCAGCAGCCCUGACCAAUUAGAAUGCGCCAAGUGGCAGAGGCGCUAAUGCGAGAGGCCACGUGGGCGAUCCGCGUGUGCGCGAUCACAUGGCUGAGGUCCAUUCCAGCGCGCAUGGAUGGCCCAGAGUGAAUCGCGAUGGACGGUCCAGAUUCACUCCCCAUUUAAUCACGAUCAGACAGUCCAGAUCAAAUGCGAAGGACUGUCCAGAUCAAAAGUGGAUGGGCAUAAAUAACCCUCA